ensembl:lncRNA
ACGGCUCCAACGGAACGGACGGAUCCACAAUGCAUUGCGCGUCCGUCCCCAUUGAAAGUCAAUGGGGAUCAGUCGACGGACGCAUGUAGUGGGCACGGGGUAUUAGGGUCUAAUGCCGCGUUUCCACUGCAGGGUGCGGUAUGGUUCGGUUCGCCUCAGUCCGGUAGGGAGGGGGCGGUAUAGCCCAGCUCAGAGUGGUAGAUAUAACAGAGUGGCGACACUUCCAUUGGACUCCAUUGUAGCGCCUACUUCCGGGGUAUGGAGCCUCGAAUAGUUCCAAACAACCAUUUUACGGCGUAGGAGAUCAUUCAUUUCCAUUGCUGGCCGUCGAGUAACUUCUAAGACGACCGAUUGCCUGCUGGUGUUAACUCGACUUCGCCAUGUGAAGGGUGAUGUUCAGCACAUGAAGCCCUACAGAUGCCGCCGCUUCAACAAUGCUGAUUAUGAUGGGCGUUGCCUUAUUAGGUCCUCCUCAGUCGCCCCAUCAGUCCCUGGCAGUCUGGUUCCUGGAGCAGCUGGCCCUUGCAAAGUUAUUCCUUCACUGUUGACCCCUGACUGACUGGCCCUCGGCACACACAUCCCUGGAUCACCUGCCCCUGGAUCACCUGCCCCUGGCAAAGUGGCCUCUUGAUUGCUCUCUCUGUCUCCUGUCAUGUCCUUUUCAUGGCUCCGAUCAUCAAUCUCUGUAACAAUUACAAGGUAAUGUUGCUGUUAUAUGUAUUUUGCCUUUGCAUUUGCAACUACUGUCAUCUCCAAUGUAAGGCAAUGUAAGAAAAUGUAUUAGAGCGAAACAUUUCUGUAAUGUGAAUUAAAUCAUCUGCCACAAUCAGAAACCAAUAGAAUGUAUAAAUGGAUCUACCGGCAAUUGUUGAUUGGGUAGAAAUGUGUUGAUUAUUGUGUGCAAAUCCUCAGAGAAUCCCUGACCUCUGGUUGUUUUUUGAACUCAAUGUACAAAUAUGAAUUAUGCAAUCUCAUUAGGAGUGUAGUCUAUCCUUGAAUUACAUGAAAUGGGGAACUUUGAAUAUUUGGCCUGUUAAGCCCUUUGAGACUGUAAUGGUGAUUAAGGCCUAUACAAAUAAAAUUGAAUUGAAUAUUGUUGGCUGCAUGGAUCACACCGAAGUUUAAUUUGGCGCAAUAUGUGUGGUCCGUUGCACUUGGUUCUGGAGGCACCCUCACAGAAGGGGGUUUCCUCUUCUUCGGCUUAGGGCGAUGAAUGAAAACUGUUGGGACUGCAUCAGGCCUCAACUUCAACAUCCCUUCUCUUUUUGUGGCAGUGAAUUGUUCAUCUUCAAAGUGUACCUGUAGGUAGGCUUGUAAGAUCAGUUUCCAUUGCACUUCAAAUAUCUUAGAAAAGUCAUAAUUC